rnacentral:misc_RNA from 1 species
UCGAAUAAACUUGAACAGGCUGUUGCUGGCCCCUAGGGGAAUGUGCACGCUUGUCAUUUUUAUCUUCUCCACCUUGUGCACACAUUGUAGAUCUUGGAACUUUGAUUGUUUGUUAUAACAGAUUAGAGAACUGCUGUGCUUCUUUGAAGUCAGCUUUUGUCUGGCAUUUUUCAAGGUCUAUGUUUAUUUUUCACAAAACCUGUCAGAAUGUGUUGGAAUGUACAUAUAUAAAAUAUA